rnacentral:rRNA from 1 species
UACGUAGGGGGCGAGCGUUGUCCGGAGUUACUGGGCGUAAAGCGCACGCAGGCGGUCUGUUAAGUUUGGAGUGACAGUUGGUGGCUUAACUGCCAAAGUGCUUCGAAAACUGACAGACUUGAGGGCUUCAGAGGGACACGGAAUUCCGGGUGGAGUGGUGAAAUGCGCAGAUAUCAGGAAGAACACCCGUGGCUAAGGCGGCUCUCUAGUACGGUACUGACGCUGAGACGCGAAAGCGUGGGGAGCGAACAGG